UGAUAUGUUUGGUAUAAGGUUG
rnacentral:miRNA from 1 species